UCCCUGGUGGUUCAGAAGGUAGACCAUCUGCCUGCAGUGCAGGAGACCCGGGUUCAAUCCCUAGGUCGGGAA
rnacentral:tRNA from 1 species